rnacentral:rRNA from 1 species
CUAAAACGUCCGUAGCCGGCUCUGUAGAUUUUCGGGUAAAUCUGUACGCUUAACUGACAGGCUGCCGGGAAUACUGCCAAACUAGGGAGUGGGAGAGGUAGACGGUACUCGGUAGGAAGUGGUAAAAUGCUUUGAUCCUGCGAGGACCCCCUGUGGCGAAGGCGGCCCACCAGAACGGAUCCGACGGUGAGGGACGAAAGCUGGGGGAGCAAACCGGAUUAGAUACCCGGGUAGUCCCAGCUGUAAACUAUGCAAAAUUUGUGAUGCAUUGUCUUGUGGCCAAUGCAGUGCUGCAGGGAAGCCGUUAAGUUUGCCGCCUGGGAAGUACGUACGCAAGUAUGAAACUUUAAGGAA